UGUGCCAGCAGCCGCGGUAAUACAGAGGGUGCGAGCGUUAAUCGGAAUUACUGGGCGUAAAGCGAGCGUAGGUGGCUUGAUAAGUCAGAUGUGAAAGCCCCGGGCUUAACCUGGGAACGGCAUCUGAUACUGUUAGGCUAGAGUAGGUGAGAGGAAGGUAGAAUUCCAGGUGUAGCGGUGAAAUGCGUAGAGAUCUGGAGGAAUACCGAUGGCGAAGGCAGCCUUCUGGCCAUCAUACUGACAAUGAGGUUCGAAAGCGUGGGUAGCAAACAGGAUUAGAUACCCUGGUAGUCCACGCCGUAAACGAUGUCUACUAGUCGUUGGGUCCCUUGAGGACUUAGUGACGCAGCUAACGCAAUAAGUAGACCGCCUGGGGAGUACGGCCGCAAGGUUAAAACUCAAAUGAAUUGACGGGGGCCCGCACAAGCGGUGGAGCAUGUGGUUUAAUUCGAUGCAACGCGAAGAACCUUACCUGGUCUUGACAUAUCUAGAAUCCUGCAGAGAUGCGGGAGUGCCUUCGGGAAUUAGAAUACAGGUGCUGCAUGGCUGUCGUCAGCUCGUGUCGUGAGAUGUUGGGUUAAGUCCCGCAACGAGCGCAACCCUUGUCCUUAGUUACCAGCGGUUUGGCCGGGAACUCUAAGGAUACUGCCAGUGACAAACUGGAGGAAGGCGGGGACGACGUCAAGUCAUCAUGGCCCUUACGACCAGGGCUACACACGUGCUACAAUGGUAGGUACAGAGGGCAGCUACACAGCGAUGUGAUGCGAAUCUCAAAAAGCCUAUCGUAGUCCAGAUUGGAGUCUGCAACUCGACUCCAUGAAGUAGGAAUCGCUAGUAAUCGCGGAUCAGAAUGCCGCGGUGAAUACGUUCCCGGGCCUUGUACACACCGCCCGUCACACCAUGGGAGUUGAUUGCACCAGAAGUGGUUAGCCUAACCUUUUAGGAAGGCGAUCACCACGGUGUGGUUGAUGACUGGGGUGAAGUCGUAACAAGGUAACCGA
rnacentral:rRNA from 1 species